GGUACCCUGUCCACCGGCGCCUGUCAUUGUGCUUCCCAUCAGCACCCAUCGUUGUGUAGAUUCGGCUGCAGCCCUCUCCCUCUACUAGCCACAGCUGAAAGACAGAGUUGCAGGUUUGGUAGUAGCUCAAAGUCCAUAUGGAGGAAGCCCAGUUACUUCAGAUAUCCUGUGAGAGGGGCAGCUUGGUGACUAUGUCAGGUUGCAUGAAAUCAUGGAGAUCUUGGCAUUGAAAGUCCAUAAGGGUGAUGUGCAGGCUCUAGAAGAUCUGACCUAUGAAAGGAGGAAAGAAUUCCUGCGACAACAGCAUCCAUUGCCUCGGGAGUCAGGAGGUUCCAAUCGUAUAAUUCCUCAUCGAGGCAAGAAUCAUUCCUGUGAUAAAGAUGCAGUCAUACAGAUAUACAAGGGAUCUUGAUAUCCACGGCUAACGACCUAGCUCGGCAUAUGGAUUCGUUCCAUUACAAUUUAUUAGUUAUUAAGCUAGAGUAGAAUAGUUUUUGAUCCGGAACAUAGUUCUGGUUUGCUCUUGUUGCUGGUUGAAUAAAAUAAAAUAUUUAUUAUUUAUUAAAUUUUAUUAGAUUAUAUUGGAUUGCUAUGAUAUACUAAUAAAUGAAUUAAAUGUUUAGUAGUCUA